rnacentral:rRNA from 1 species
CGGCAAAAGCUCAAAUUUGAAAUCUGGCGCCUUCGGUGUCCGAGUUGUAAUUUGAAGAUUGUAACCUUGGGGUUGGCUCUUGUCUAUGUUUCUUGGAACAGGACGUCACAGAGGGUGAGAAUCCCGUGCGAUGAGAUGCCCAAUUCUAUGUAAGGUGCUUUCGAAGAGUCGAGUUGUUUGGGAAUGCAGCUCUAAGUGGGUGGUAAAUUCCAUCUAAAGCUAAAUAUUGGCGAGAGACCGAUAGCGAACAAGUACAGUGAUGGAAAGAUGAAAAGAACUUUGAAAAGAGAGUGAAAAAGUACGUGAAAUUGUUGAAAGGGAAGGGUUUGAGAUCAGACUCGAUAUUUUGUGAGCCUUGCCUUCGUGGCGGGGUGACCCGCAGCUUAUCGGGCCAGCAUCGGUUUGGGCGGUAGGAUAAUGGCGUAGGAAUGUGACUUUACUUCGGUGAAGUGUUAUAGCCUGCGUUGAUGCUGCCUGCCUAGACCGAGGACUGCGA